CCUGUUGGAAUGCAGCAAUCUUCUACUUCCAAAACCUCCAAACACUACUACAACGACUGCUUUAUUUGGGAUGAGCUGCAGAACUCACUCACAACUUCACCAUGAGUUGUCCCACAAUGCCCCACUGGCAAUACAAUCAAUACCAGGACUCCUAGUGAGGACACACCACUGACACAAGGAGCCAAGUGUGCACACACAGAUUGCACCCUGCCACUAGACUUCCGGCUCCUUGGCAGUUACCUUUCCUGGGCAGAGUUCCAUAUCUCUCUCCCCCAGACCAGGAUCUCUCCAGGCUGCACAGCUCUCUGCCUACACUGUGAAUUCCCCAGCAAAGUCAAACUACCUAACCAGGCCUGCUUUCC